rnacentral:rRNA from 1 species
UACAGAGGUGGCAAGCGUUGUUCGGAAUUACUGGGCGUAAAGGGCGCGUAGGCGGCUUUUCAAGUCGGGCGUGAAAUCUCCGGGCUUAACCCGGAAGGGUCGUUCGAUACUGUUGAGCUAGAGUGUGGAAGAGGCAACUAGAAUUCCGUGUGUAGCGGUGAAAUGCGUAGAUAUACGGAGGAAUACCUGAGGCGAAGGCGGGUUGCUGGGCCAACACUGACGCUGAGGCGCGAAAGCCAGGGGAGCAAACGGG